rnacentral:rRNA from 1 species
CAGUAGCCGCGGGAAUACGUAGGGUGCAAGCGUUAAUCGGAAUUACUGGGCGUAAAGCGUGCGCAGGCGGUUAUAUAAGACAGAUGUGAAAUCCCCGGGCUCAACCUGGGAACUGCAUUUGUGACUGUAUAGCUAGAGUACGGCAGAGGGGGAUGGAAUUCCGCGUGUAGCAGUGAAAUGCGUAGAUAUGCGGAGGAACACCGAUGGCGAAGGCAAUCCCCUGGGCCUGUACUGACGCUCAUGCACGAAAGCGUGGGGAGCAAACAGGAUUAGAUACCCCAGUAGUCCCUGUCUCUUAUCA